rnacentral:rRNA from 1 species
AACGAACGCUGGCGGCAGGCCUAACACAUGCAAGUCGAGGGAGAAACUAUCUUCGGAUAGCGGAGACCGGCAGACGGGUGAGUAACACGUGGGAACGUACCUUGUAGUAUGGAAUAACAGUUGGAAACGACUGCUAAUACCGUAUACGCCCUUCGGGGGAAAGAUUUAUCGCUAUAAGAUCGGCCCGCGUUAGAUUAGCUAGUUGGUAAGGUAACGGCUUACCAAGGCGACGAUCUAUAGCUGGUUUGAGAGGAUGAUCAGCCACACUGGGACUGAGACACGGCCCAGACUCCUACGGGAGGCAGCAGUGGGGAAUAUUGCGCAAUGGAGGAAACUCUGACGCAGCCAUGCCGCGUGUGUGAUGAAGGCCCUAGGGUUGUAAAGCACUUUCAGAUGUGAUGAUGAUGACAGUAGCAUCAAAAGAAGUUCCGGCUAACUUCG